CCUACGGGAGGCAGCAGUGAGGAAUAUUGGUCAAUGGCCGGAAGGCUGAACCAGCCAUGCCGCGUGAAGGUCAGUGCCCUAUGGGCGUUAAACUUCUUUUGUGCGGGAGCAAUAAUGGUCACGUGUGGCCAGACGAGAGUACCGUACGAAUAAGCAUCGGCUAACUCCGUGCCAGCAGCCGCGGUAAUACGGGGGAUGCAAGCGUUAUCCGGAUUUAUUGGGUUUAAAGGGUGCGUAGGCUGUGAGGUAAGUCAGCGGUGAAAUGCCCGCGCUCAACGGGGUGAAGUGCCAUUGAUACUGCCUGGCUGGAAUGCGGAUGCGGUGGGAGGAAUGUGUGGUGUAGCGGUGAAAUGCAUAGAUAUCACACAGAACACCGAUUGCGAAGGCAUCUCACGAAUCCGCGAUUGACGCUGAUGCACGAAAGCGUGGGUAUCAAACAGGAUUAGAUACCCGGGUAGUC
rnacentral:rRNA from 1 species